CCACGGGCCGCAGCAGUGAGGAAUUUUGCGCAAUGGGGGGAACCCUGACGCAGCAACGCCGCGUGAGUGAUGAAGGCUUUCGGGUCGUAAAGCUCUGUCAAGUGGGAAGAACCUAUGCAGUGUUAAUAUCACUGUAUACUGACGGUACCACUGAAGGAAGCACCGGCUAACUCCGUGCCAGCAGCCGCGGUAAUACGGGGGGUGCAAGCGUUAUUCGGAAUCAUUGGGCGUAAAGGGCACGUAGGCGGCUUGGUAAGUCAGAUGUGAAAGCCCGGGGCUUAACCCCGGAAGUGCAUUUGAUACUGUCAGGCUUGAGUAUGGGAGAGGGAAGUGGAAUUCCUGGUGUAGAGGUGAAAUUCGUAGAUAUCAGGAGGAACACCGGUGGCGAAGGCGACUUCCUGGACCAAUACUGACGCUGAGGUGCGAAGGCGUGGGUAGCAAACAGGAUUAGAUACCCUGGUAGUC
rnacentral:rRNA from 1 species